rnacentral:rRNA from 1 species
GACGAACGCUGGCGGCGUGCCUAAUACAUGCAAGUAGGACGCAGUUGCGAAUGGGUUAGUAACGCGUAGGUAACUGCCUAUUAGAGGGGGAUAACUAUUGUAGACGAUAGCUAAUACCGCAUACUUGUAGAUGGACCUGCGUUGUAUUUGCUAGGCGGUAGGGUAAUGGCCUACCUAGGCGGAGAAACAUAGCCGACCUGGGAGGGGUGUCGGCCAACAUGGGACUGGGAAACGGCCCAGACUCCUACGGGAGGCAGCAGUAGGGAAACAUCGGAAAUGGGGGGAAACCUGACCGAGCAACGGCGCGGGAGUGAAGAAGGUUUUCGGAUCGUAAAGCUCUGUUGUUAAGGAAGCGGUACUUAAUCAGAAAGGAACGGCUAACUACGUGCCAGCAGCCGCGGUAAUUC